GAUGAACGCUGGCGGCGUGCCUAAUACAUGCAAGUCGAGCGAACGGACGAGAAGCUUGCUUCUCUGAUGUUAGCGGCGGACGGGUGAGUAACACGUGGAUAACCUACCUAUAAGACUGGGAUAACUUCGGGAAACCGUAGCUAAUACCGGAUAAUAUUUUGAACCGCAUGGUUCAAAAGUGAAAGACGGUCUUGCUGUCACUUCUCGAUGGAUCCGCGCUGCAUUAGCUAGUUGGUAAGGUAACGGCUUACCAAGGCAACGAUGCAUAGCCGACCUGAGAGGGUGAUCGGCGACACUGGAACGGAGACACGGUCCAGACUCCUACGGGAGGCAGCAGUAGGGAAUCUUACGCAAUGGGCGAAAGCCUGACGGAGCAACGCCGCGUGAGUGAUGAAGGUCUUCGGAUCGUAAAACUCUGUUAUUAGGGAAGAACAUAUGUGUAAGUAACUGUGCACAUCUUGACGGUACCUAAUCAGAAAGCCACGGCUAACUACGUG
rnacentral:rRNA from 1 species